GCAAGUUAUCCUGGCUAUC
rnacentral:miRNA from 1 species